GAUGAACGCUGGCGGCGUGCCUAACACAUGCAAGUCGAACGGUAACACUUCGGGUGACGAGUGGCGGACGGCUGAGUAACGCGUGGGAACGUGCCCCAAAGUGAGGAAUAACUGCCCGAAAGGGUAGCUAAUGCCGCAUAUGGUCUUCGGAUUAAAGUAUUUAUACGCUUUGGGAGCGGCCCGCGUCGGAUUAGGUUGUUGGUGAGGUAAAGGCUCACCAAGCCGACGAUCCGUAGCUGGUCUGAGAGGAUGAUCAGCCAGACUGGAACUGAGACACGGUCCAGACUCCUACGGGAGGCAGCAGUGAGGAAUCUUCCACAAUGGGGGCAACCCUGAUGGAGCAACGCCGCGUGCAGGACGAAGGCCUUCGGGUUGUAAACUGCUUUUAUAAGUGAGGAAUAUGACGGUAACUUAUGAAUAAGGAUCGGCUAACUACGUGCCAGCAGCCGCCGUAACAC
rnacentral:rRNA from 1 species